rnacentral:rRNA from 1 species
CAGUAGCCACGGUAAUACGAAGGGUGCAAGCGUUACUCGGAAUUACUGGGCGUAAAGCGUGCGUAGGUGGUGGUUUAAGUCCGUUGUGAAAGCCCUGGGCUCAACCUGGGAAUUGCAGUGGAUACUGGGUCACUAGAGUGUGGUAGAGGAUAGUGGAAUUUCCGGUGUAGCAGUGAAAUGCGUAGAUAUUCGCAGGAACACCAGUGGCGAAGGUGGCUAACUGGUCCAUAACUGACGCUGAGGUGCGAAAGCGUGGGGAGCAAACAGGAUUAGAUACCCCUGUAGUCCCUGUCUCUUAUAC